AAUUGCAUUGAAUUUUUCGAACGUAGUUUUCCAGCAUCCAAACUAUCUGUGACAAUUUUUUUGCUAUAAUAGUCAAUGUGUUACGCAUAAGAAUAUGAAGUUGAUAAUGAUACAUGUAUUUGGCAAAUCAGCUGCAAUGCGACGCUGAAGCGCACCAAUAUGUGCACCUCUGUAAGAUUUUUGUGUAUGCGCGCCUCGUCGGCGAAAGGCGGCCGCCUCGACGCGCGGAGGCGCUGAGGUGCGAGAAUGUAGGAAUCGAGAUAUGCAGGUAUAUUUAAAUAAACGUGAUUUCGGCAAAAAAAAAUCAAAAUUUCAGACGUGAUUUCAGCAA